rnacentral:rRNA from 1 species
AUUGAACGCUAGCGGCAUGCCUUACACAUGCAAGUCGAACGGCAGCGGGGGAGCUUGCUCCCGCCGGCGAGUGGCGAACGGGUGAGUAAUACAUCGGAACGUACCCAGUAGCGGGGGAUAGCCCGGCGAAAGCCGGAUUAAUACCGCAUACGCCCUACGGGGGAAAGGGGGGGAUCGCAAGACCUCUCACUAUUGGAGCGGCCGAUGGCUGAUUAGCUAGUUGGUGGGGUAAAGGCCUACCAAGGCGAUGAUCAGUAGCUGGUCUGAGAGGACGACCAGCCACACUGGAACUGAGACACGGUCCAGACUCCUACGGGAGGCAGCAGUGGGGAAUUUUGGACAAUGGGGGCAACCCUGAUCCAGCAAUGCCGCGUGAGUGAAGAAGGCCCUCGGGUUGUAAAGCUCUUUUGUCAGGGAAGAAAAGGCUGCGGCUAAUAUCCGCGGCUCAUGACGGUACCUGAAGAAUAAGCACCGGCUAACUACGUGCCAGCCGCCGCGGUAA